UACGGAGGAUCCAAGCGUUAUCCGGAUUUAUUGGGUUUAAAGGGUGCGUAGGUGGCCUAUUAAGUCAGGGGUGAAAGACGGUAGCUUAACUAUCGCAGUGCCUUUGAUACUGAUGGGCUUGAAUACAGUUGAAGUGGGCGGAAUGUGACAAGUAGCGGUGAAAUGCAUAGAUAUGUCACAGAACACCGAUUGCGAAGGCAGCUCGACUAAAGUGUGAUUGACACUGAGGCACGAAAGGCGUGGGGAUCAAACAGG
rnacentral:rRNA from 1 species